UACGUAGGUGGCAAGCGUUAUCCGGAAUUAUUGGGCGUAAGCGCGCGCAGGCGGUUUCUUAAGUCUGAUGUGAAAGCCCACGGCUCAACCGUGGAGGGUCAUUGGAAACUGGGGAACUUUGAGUGCAGAAGAGAAAAGCGGAAUUCCACGUGUAGCGGAUGAAAUGCGGUAGAGAUGUGGAGGAACACCAGUGGCGAAAGGCGGCUUUUUGGUCUG
rnacentral:rRNA from 1 species